AAAUAUAUAUAUUAUACAUACACAUAAGAUAUGAGGUAAAGAAAUUCAGUAAGUACAUCAAAAACAAUUAAAAUCAAGACUGAGUGCUUAAGUACCUGUGAUUUGUAGCUCCUUGAGACGCUUAAAUAUCAACUAUAAGAAGGCCAAACUAACUAGUUAUGUCCCCUUUUCCUCAUCAUAAAUGUGGAGCACAACUUGUUAACUCCUGCUCCAAAUGUACCUUGUAUAAGAUCCCCAUGAGCAAAUGGCUUCUCAACUCCAUUGCUUAACAAAGGUUUCACCUGAAUUUCAGGACUUUGAGAACAAGAAAAAAUUGGAGGGCAGCGACAAAGAAAUUGGACAUUUUUUUUCUAUCUUUUAAAGCUUGAUAACCAUCUUUUGGCUCCUAGACCAAUCAAUAAAAAUGAAUACUUUAUACAAAACAUGGAUAUCCCUAUAGCUCUAGCCUGAAGUUGUUAGGGUGGGUACAGUGUGGGGAACAUGCACUGCUUCACUACUUGCAGCUUUUUUUGCAGCAAUCUCUUCUAAGCACUUCCACGUGGCUUCAUGUUUCGCUUUCAGAUCAUCUGCCUUUGCUUCCUCUUCUUCAAACUGCUUUAAGCACUCUUCAAACAGCUCAGGAUCAAUAUCAGCAAAGAUCUUGCGAACAUUAACAGUUAAGCUCUGGACCAACUGAUUCCAAUGGUUACGUCCAUUCUUUUCCAAGGCAGGGAAGAUUAUGGGCAGUAUAAUUUUUCGGUUGUGUCUGAUUAAAUUCUCAAUAUGAUCAUUGUUCCACAAGUACAAAGCCCUUUCUGCCACCUGGAAGUGUGAACUGCUCAAGCAACGAGCUAUCUGAUGGAACAGGGGUACCAUACAUCUUUGAAAUUCUGCUGGCUGGGUCGCUUCUAAGAUUUCCUCCAGCUCACUUAGGAACAUCACCUCCUUGGAACUAUUAGUGAUAGGCCAGUACUUCAAUAAACCCCUUAUAACAGUGUCUGCAAGCUUGCAGUCUUUUUCCACAAACUGUGUAAU
rnacentral:misc_RNA from 1 species